rnacentral:rRNA from 1 species
UACGUAGGGCGCAGGCGUUAUCCGGAAUUAUUGGGAGUAAAGAGUUCGUAGGCGGUUUGUAGAGUUUGACGUGAAAGUCCGGGGCUCAACUCCGGAUCUGCGGUGGGUACGGGCAGACUAGAGUGAUGUAGGGGAGACUGGAAUUCCUGGUGUAGCGGUGAAAUGCGCAGAUAUCAGGAGGAACACCGAUGGCGAAGGCAGCUCGCUGGGACGGUACUGACGCUGAGACGCGAAAGCUAGGGGAGCAAACGGG